rnacentral:snRNA from 1 species
UGAUGUGAGGGCAUUCUGGCUUCGACAUUGAUCACCAGGGUUGAUUCAGCUGAUCUGACUGGCUAGGUGGGUGUCCCUUUCCUCCCUCAUGCUCCAUGUGUGUCCCUUCCAACACUGCUCUAGCUCAGCGGAAGAGGAGAAGCUUCCCCAAAUAGAGGAGGAUCAGUCAAGGGUAGAUGAGUAGCUGGGCUCCCCUGCUAGACCUCCAAACAAGCCUUUCUUUUUCUUUCUUUUUUUUAAUUACACUAACACCAGGCACUGCACUCUCUCACCUGACUACAUUAGCACUUGUGAGGGUAGUUUGGGGUGUAAACGGCUGUUCAA